UACGUAGGGUGCAAGCGUUGUCCGGAAUUAUUGGGCGUAAAGAGCUCGUAGGUGGUUUGUCGCGUUGUCCGUGAAAACUCACAGCUUAACUGUGGGCGUGCGGGCGAUACGGGCAGACUGGAGUACUGCAGGGGAGACUGGAAUUCCUGGUGUAGCAGUGGAAUGCGCAGAUAUCAGGAGGAACACCGGUGGCGAAGGCGGGUCUCUGGGCAGUAACUGACGCUGGAGGAGCGAAAGCGUGGGGAGCGAACAGG
rnacentral:rRNA from 1 species